rnacentral:rRNA from 1 species
GUUAAACAUAAAGAGCGUAGGGUGGAUGCCUAGGCACUGACAGCCGAAGAAAGACGUGACAAGCUGCGAAAAGCUGCGGGGAGAAGCACAUAUUCAGUGAUCCGCAGAUGUCUGAAUGGGGAAACCCGCUUGGAAGGACUCCAAGCAUCUGUACGCCAAUACAUAACGUACAGAGGGGAACCCGGUGAACUGAAACAUCUAAGUAGCCGGAGGAAAAGAAAACAAAAGUGAUUGCGAAAGUAGCGGCGAGCGAAAUCGUAAAAGCCCAAACCGCGGUGCGUGCACUGCGGGGUAGAGGACUGCAAUACGAGUAAGAUAUAUUACCUGAACCGUUUUGGAAAAGCGGGCCAAAGAGCGUGAGAGCCGUGUAAGGGAAAAUAUAUUGAAUCAAGCAGUAUCCGGAGUACCACGAGACACGAGAAACCUUGUGGGAAGCAGGGGGGACCACCCCCCAAGGCUAAAUACUUGUCAGUGACCGAUAGCGUAUAGUACUGUGAAGGAAAGGUGAAAAGAACCCCGGGAGGGGAGUGAAAAAGAACCUGAAACCCUAUGUUUACAAACUGUGGAACACCGAAAGGUGAACCGCGUACUUUUUGUAGAACGGUCCGGCGAGUUACAUGUACAGGCAAGGUUAAGUAUUAAAGAUACGGAGCCGAAGGGAAACCAAGUCUUAACAGGGCGAGAUAAGUCAGUAUGUGUAGACCCGAAACCGGGUGAUCUAUCCAUGUCCAGGUUGAAGUUCGCGUAAAAGUGAAUGGAGGACCGAACGCACAUCCGUUGAAAAGGGUGGCGAUGAGGUGUGGAUAGGGGAGAAAUUCCAAUCGAACCCGGAGAUAGCUGGUUCUCCUCGAAAUAGUUUUAGGACUAGCCUCGUUAUUAGUCUACCGGAGGUAGAGCACUGAAUUUUUGCGGGGGCGUCAAAGCCUACCAAGAGAUAUCAAACUCCGAAUGCCGGCUAGAUGAUUAACGGGAGUCAGACUGCACGAGAUAAGUUGGGUAGUCAAAAGGGAAAGAGCCCGGACCCGCGGCUAAGGUCCCAAAGUGUGUGUUAAGUGGAAAAGGAUGUGGGAUUUCAAAGACAGCUAGGAUGUUGGCUUAGAAGCAGCCAUACAUUAAAAGAGUGCGUAACAGCUCACUAGUCGAGAGGUCCUGCGCCGAAAAUGUCCGGGGCUAAACACAACACCGAAGCCUGGGAAUGUAUUUUAUACAUUGGUAGAGGAGCAUUCUUAUAAGCGUAGAAGCCAUACCGAAAGGAGUGGUGGAGUAAUAAGAAGAGAGAAUGCCGGAAUGAGUAGCGAGAAAGAGGUGAGAAUCCUCUUGGCCGAAUAUCUAAGGUUUCCUGAGUAAAGCUGAUCUGCUCAGGGUAAGUCGGGGCCUAAGGCAAGGGAGAAAUCCGUAGUCGAUGGAUAACAGGUACAGAUUCCUGUACUACAUAUAAUCAGAACUGUGGGGACACGGAGACUGAAAACCGAACCCGGGAGGACAAAAACCGGGGCAAGCGAAGUACCUGUAUGGGAGGAAAACCCACCAUACAAAGGGAAGACGUGAUGCGUACCGAAAAAUAGUAGGGAAGUCGGUUAGGGAGCCGUCAAGAAAAGCCGCUAUUGUGUUAUAUGUACCCGUACCGCAAACCGACACAGGUAGAUGAGGAGAGAAUCCUAAGGCCGGCGGGAGAAGCAUUGUUAAGGAACUCGGCAAAAUGACCCCGUAACUUCGGGAGAAGGGGUGCCACUUUAAUAGAGUGGUCGCAGAAAAAAGGCUCAAGCAACUGUUUAGCAAAAACACAGGUCUAUGCGAAACCGUAAGGUGAAGUAUAUGGGCUGACGCCUGCCCGGUGCCGGAAGGUUAAGAGGAGAAGUCAGGAAACGAAGCUUUGAAUUGAAGCCCCGGUAAACGGCGGCCGUAACUAUAACGGUCCUAAGGUAGCGAAAUUCCUUGUCGGGU